rnacentral:rRNA from 1 species
UACAGAGGGUGCAAGCGUUGUCCGGAAUUAUUGGGCGUAAAGAGCUCGUAGGCGGUCUGUCGCGUCGAAUGUGAAAACCCGGGGCUCAACCCCGGGCCUGCAUUCGAUACGGGCAGACUAGAGUUCGGUAGGGGAGUCUGGAAUUCCUGGUGUAGCGGUGAAAUGCGCAGAUAUCAGGAGGAACACCGGUGGCGAAGGCGGGACUCUGGGCCGAUACUGACGCUGAGGAGCGAAAGCGUGGGGAGCAAACAGG